rnacentral:rRNA from 1 species
GUGCGUAACGCGUAUGCAAUCUACCUUUUACAGAGGGAUAGCCCAGAGAAAUUUGGAUUAAUACCUCAUAGUAUUAUGAAAUGGCAUCAUUUUAUAAUUAAAGUCACAACGGUAAAAGAUGAGCAUGCGUCCCAUUAGCUAGUUGGUAAGGUAACGGCUUACCAAGGCUACGAUGGGUAGGGGUCCUGAGAGGGAGAUCCCCCACACUGGUACUGAGACACGGACCAGACUCCUACGGGAGGCAGCAGUGAGGAAUAUUGGACAAUGGGCGCAAGCCUGAUCCAGCCAUGCCGCGUGCAGGAUGACGGUCCUAUGGAUUGUAAACUGCUUUUAUACGAGAAGAAACACUACUUCGUGAAGUAGCUUGACGGUAUCGUAAGAAUAAGGAUCGGCUAACUCCGUGCCAGCAGCCGCGGUAAUACGGAGGAUCCAAGCGUUAUCCGGAAUCAUUGGGUUUAAAGGGUCCGUAGGCGGUUUAAUAAGUCAGUGGUGAAAGCCCAUCGCUCAACGGUGGAACGGCCAUUGAUACUGUUAAACUUGAAUUAUUAGGAAGUAACUAGAAUAUGUAGUGUAGCGGUGAAAUGCUUAGAGAUUACAUGGAAUACCAAUUGCGAAGGCAGGUUACUACUAAUGGAUUGACGCUGAUGGACGAAAGCGUGGGUAGCGAACAGGAUUAGAUACCCUGGUAGUCCACGCCGUAAACGAUGGAUACUAGCUGUUGGAAGCAAUUUCAGUGGCUAAGCGAAAGUGAUAAGUAUCCCACCUGGGGAGUAC